ACCGGCGAGUACAGAGGCUUUGGGGACUUGUCCCCCUUCCCUCGGCGCCGCCCCCGAAAUGAAUUGGCGGUCUCGUCGCGGCCUCCUCUGCGUAGUAGCACAACCUCGCAUCAGGAGCGCGGCGCGGCCACUGCCGUAAAACGCCCAACUUUUUUUUAAGAGUUGACCUCGAAUCAGGUAGGAAU
rnacentral:misc_RNA from 1 species